rnacentral:rRNA from 1 species
GAUGAACGCUGGCGGCGUGCCUAAUACAUGCAAGUCGAGCGAACAGAUGAGGAGCUUGCUCCUCUGACGUUAGCGGCGGACGGGUGAGUAACACGUGGAUAACCUACCUAUAAGACUGGGAUAACUUCGGGAAACCGGAGCUAAUACCGGAUAAUAUAUUGAACCGCAUGGUUCAAUAGUGAAAGACGGUUUUGCUGUCACUUAUAGAUGGAUCCGCGCCGCAUUAGCUAGUUUGUAAGGUAACGGCUUACCAAGGCAACGAUGCGUAGCCGACCUGAGAGGGUGAUCGGCCACAAUGGAACUGAGACAAGGACCAGACUACUACGGGAGGCAGCAGUAGGGAAUCUUACGCAAUGGGCGAAAGCCUGACGGAGCAACGCCGAGUGAGUGAUGAAGGUCUUCGGAUCGUAAAACUCUGUUAUGAGGGAAGAACAAAUGUGUAAGUAACUAUGCACGUAUUGACGGUACCUAAUCAGAAAGCCACGGCUAACUACGUG